GAGUACCGACUUAACGUUGUUCAAUUCUUUUAUUCCUAGUAUAAAAUAAAACAAAGUGCCAUGUUUUUCUAGGUGAUUGAGUGGGUGUACAAGUAAAGUAGCAAGUAGCAACAUUAUUAUUAUGAGCUUAUCAACUUCUGCUAUUAACACAACUUCAAAUUUCAACUCUGAAGCUGCUUUGUGCACUUUAGAUGACUUUGCUAAGAACAACACUACUAAUACUCAUAUCGACGAAAUUGGCAAUUUCCAUCGGAAAGAUAAUCAAUUUGCUCAUAGUUUUCUUAAUGAUCAAAUCAAUGUUGAUGGAGAUAAUCUACUAUUGUUUGAUAAUAAUCUCCUCCAACUUCUCUUGAAACUCGAAAAAACAGCAUCUUUACCAUCUUGUAAUGAUAUCGGUCUUCGACUUGAUGAUUUCCAUCUGCAAAAUCAGGAGAAGUUAAAAAAAGCCGACAUCGACAAAUCAAAAGGAAAAGAACUAGUUAUGGAGAACGACGGAGAAAGCUCGGGCAAUAACGAUUAUUAUUCGAAUGCUAGGAGGAAGAAGUUGAUGUAAAACUACAGGUUGGAUUAGCGAAAUAAAGAUGAACUACAUUAAGUUCAACCUUAGCUUGUCGAAGAGAGGAGGAAGCACGCACAUGAUGAGCAUUUGUUCUUUGGAAGCGGAAUCGUGGACAAAGAAGCAAGCGGGAACAAAUCAAUGACAAGUUUCAGAUUUUAGAGAAUUUGAUUCCCAAGUCUAAUAAGGUAGAUUUUCUGAGAGACCAUGCAUCCAUCCUGAAUAACGCAGCUAAGCGCAUCAAAUCCUUGAAACGCCAAAUUGAGAUAUUGUCGACAUGGCCUGAACAAAAACAGCUCGAACAAGCUUUUUAUGUACCUGCAUCUGCAAUACAUGCGCUUACGAUGAUGAGGCCAUGUACGUAUGCAUUUGGUAGUGCUGAACCAUCGUCUCAUAUGCCAACAAUCCAAGCAAAUUUGUGCCCUCCUCCUCCUGCCAACACAUUAUUCGCACCGUUGUUUCCUUCAACUACUCCAUGCCAAUAUCCGGGGAAGAGUAGGAUGAAUUGAAAGAAAACUGUUUGAUUGUUUUCUAAGUUCUGAUAAUAACAAAUAUGGUACCUUUAACUAUUAUAUACUUUGUGUAGUUGUGUAUGUGUUUACUUUGUUAUGAAUGGAAUAUUUUCAUUAUAGAGCUACAUUAUCCUUUUUUUCAUAAA